UCAAUUUGUUCAUGAAAAUGAUGAUCUACACUCAGGUGUUGGAGUGUGUCUACAAGGUUCAGUUGCUCAACUAUGGUACUGCAGGAAAAUAACCCAAUUAUUCUCUCCUUCAGUUGAUUGGACCUCUCUGUCAUCCUUUCCUCUGACAUCUACAUGGCAUUACCAAAAUAUAUGUUAUGCAGUGUUAAAUGAAACCAUGUCCAUGGUGACAUUUAUUUAACCAUGUGACAAGAGAAGAAAAUAAUAGCGCUAGAAGGCAAGAUUGUUCUUGGUUAAAGUUGCAACCAUUAGCUGUUACUAUUGUAUUUACAUAAUCGUUUAGCUAUUCUGCAAACAGGCAAAACAGACCAUGCCAUGUUUAAAUAUAAAUAGAAACUGCUAAGGGAAACAAGAAAAGAAAAACAUGAGAUGAUAGUUCCAAGUUACUUCUAACAUCAAAAUAUGCAGAAGAGGUGUCAUUAAAGACUAUUUGUGCUGAAUAUGUUUUUUUUUCAUACAUUCCAAAUGUGAUUGAAUGCAAUCUUGAAGAUUUAUUGGUUUAUCGAAUGUCAUGGGUCAUCUUGUUUCCUAUUCAUUGGAAGCUACAUAAAUCAUCCCUAUAUUAAGAUGAAGUAAGAAAGCAUCAGUCGCUCUUAUUUUCUUUCUUCUAUGAAAGAUCGUAGCUCGCUCUUUCAACCCUUGUCCCCCUCUGGGAACUGUUUGAGUUUUGACAUCGACCGCAUUUCCUUUUGAUCGUAUUACGCUUGACUCCUCUACAGAGUGUACACGUAGAGGGUAGUUCCCAAAUUAUUUUACUAUUUAUGAAAUCACUUAAUAACAGUUCUGUGUUUUUCAAGUGUUUGGAAACAAAACUAAUAGGAAGAUACCAAUCAGGCGUGGCUAGUUGUAUGAAAAUGGUAUUGUACUAAUCUCAGUUUCUGUGUGCAGCUAGGCGAACCAACAAAGCUGAAAGCCAACAAACAGAAUCCAGGCAUAUCUCAACAAGGGCUCCAGACCAGGUAAUUACUUUAGGUCGGACCAUGAAACAACUGGGAUUCGGCACAUAAAACUGAAUGAAAAACAUGCAGAGACUGAAAACAUGUACUGCUCCCAGAUGCUGUUGUUACUGCUGUAACAAUAUGGAGCAUGCCUGAAACGGUUCUGGACUGUAGUUGAUGAAGAAGUCGCCCCACACCGUGGGAAGAAAC
rnacentral:lncRNA from 1 species